rnacentral:rRNA from 1 species
CGGGUGAGUAACACGUAUCCAACCUUCCGUUUACUCAGGGAUAGCCUUUCGAAAGAAAGAUUAAUACCUGAUAGUAUGGUGAGAUUGCAUGAUAACACCAUUAAAGAUUUAUUGGUAAACGAUGGGGAUGCGUUCCAUUAGGUAGUAGGCGGGGUAACGGCCCACCUAGCCUGCGAUGGAUAGGGGUUCUGAGAGGAAGGUCCCCCACAUUGGAACUGAGACACGGUCCAAACUCCUACGGGAGGCAGCAGUGAGGAAUAUUGGUCAAUGGGCGAGAGCCUGAACCAGCCAAGUAGCGUGAAGGAUGAAGGUCCUACGGAUUGUAAACUUCUUUUAUACGGGAAUAAAGUUUCCUACGUGUAGGAUUUUGUAUGUACCGUAUGAAUAAGCAUCGGCUAACUCCGUGCCAGCAGCCGCGGUAAUACGGAGGAUGCGAGCGUUAUCCGGAUUUAUUGGGUUUAAAGGGAGCGCAGACGGGAGAUUAAGUCAGUUGUGAAAGUUUGCGGCUCAACCGUAAAAUUGCAGUUGAUACUGGUUUCCUUGAGUGCAGUUGAGGCAGGCGGAAUUCGUGGUGUAGCGGUGAA